rnacentral:rRNA from 1 species
AUUGAACGCUGGCGGCAGGCCUAACACAUGCAAGUCGAGCGAGCGGCGGACGGGUGAGUAAUGUCUGGGAAACUGCCUGAUGGAGGGGGCUAACUACUGGAAACGGUAGCUAAUACCGCAUACCAUCAGAUGUGCCCAGAUGGGAUUAGCGAGUAGGUGGGGUAACGGCUCACCUAGGCUACGAUCCCUAGCUGGUCUGAGAGGAGGACCAGCCACACUGUAACUGAGAAACGGGCCAGACUCCUACGUGUGGCAGCAGUGGGGAAUAGUGCACAAGUGGCUCAAGCCUGAUGCAGCCAUACCGCGUGUAUGAAGAAGGCCUUCGGGUUGUAAAGUACUUUCAGCGGGGAGGCGUUACCCGCAGAAGAAGCACCGGCUAACUCCGUGCCAGCAGCCGCGGUAAUAC